rnacentral:lncRNA from 1 species
UUACUUGGUUGAUCGAACCCCCUUGCUUCCCCUAAGCUAUCUUGUUCCAUUGAGUUUCAUCUUGUUUGCGGUUUUAUCGAGAGAGAGCGAAGGCCAACUCGAUCGACCCUAGUUCGUGCGUACGUGUGACCCUUGGAGCGUAUAUCAUCUGGUAUCAGAGCCGAAAGGUUCUACACCCUAGGUUGUAUCACUCCAUCUCCAUUCCCCUUAGCUAUUGUUUCGUUUAUUCUAAGUCAAAAAAAAAAAAGAAAUAGUAUCUCGUAGUUGCACUUGUUUUCGAUUGUUAGGUUGCUAGUCUCGAUUUGCAUCACUUAUAUUUAAAUAAAAAAAAAAAAAAAAAAUAGUUAGUGGUAAUCUUGUAGUUGUUUGAGUUAAUCGUUAGUUAAGUUCAAAAAAAAAAAGAAGAAAUUGUCAAUUUUCAGUUUGUUCUUGUUCGAUUUUGUUUAUUAUCCGUUCGUUGAUACUUGCUAUUUUUGUCACUUCUUUUGCAUACACAGAUGGAGAACAACACCGAAGCUCCCUUGGAUCCUAUUGCAGCCACAUUAGCUGCUAUCCAAGCCACCCUCCAAACGUUUGGAGACC